rnacentral:rRNA from 1 species
UAGGGAAUCUUCCGCAAUGGGCGAAAGCCUGACGGAGCAACGCCGCGUGAGUGAUGAAGGGUUUCGGCUCGUAAAACUCUGUUAUUAGGGAAGAACAAAUGUGUAAGUAACUGUGCACAUCUUGACGGUACCUAAUCAGAAAGCCACGGCUAACUACGUGCCAGCAGCCGCGGUAAUACGUAGGUGGCAAGCGUUAUCCGGAAUUAUUGGGCGUAAAGCGCGCGUAGGCGGUUUCUUAAGUCUGAUGUGAAAGCCCACGGCUCAACCGUGGAGGGUCAUUGGAAACUGGGAAACUUGAGUGCAGAAGAGGAAAGUGGAAUUCCAUGUGUAGCGGUGAAAUGCGCAGAGAUAUGGAGGAACACCAGUGGCGAAGGCGACUUUCUGGUCUGUAACUGACGCUGAUGUGCGAAAGCGUGGGGAUCAAACA